rnacentral:rRNA from 1 species
AGCCAAUGGCGGCAGCCAUACACAUGCAAGUCGAGCGGAACGAGUUAUCUGAACCUUCGGGGAACGAUAACGGCGUCGAGCGGCGGACGGGUGAGUAAUGCCUAGGAAAUUGCCCUGAUGUGGGGGAUAACCAUUGGAAACGAUGGCUAAUACCGCAUGAUGCCUACGGGCCAAAGAGGGGGACCUUCGGGCCUCUCGCGUCAGGAUAUGCCUAGGUGGGAUUAGCUAGUUGGUGAGGUAAGGGCUCACCAAGGCGACGAUCCCUAGCUGGUCUGAGAGGAUGAUCAGCCACACUGGAACUGAGACACGGUCCAGACUCCUACGGGAGGCAGCAGUGGGGAAUAUUGCACAAUGGGCGCAAGCCUGAUGCAGCCAUGCCGCGUGUGUGAAGAAGGCCUUCGGGUUGUAAAGCACUUUCAGUCGUGAGGAAGGCGUUGUCGUUAAUAGCGGCAUCGUUUGACGUUAGCGACAGAAGAAGCACCGGCUAACUCCGUGCCAGCAGCCGCGGUAAUACGGAGGGUGCGAGCGUUAAUCGGAAUUACUGGGCGUAAAGCGCAUGCAGGUGGUUUGUUAAGUCAGAUGUGAAAGCCCGGGGCUCAACCUCGGAAUAGCAUUUGAAACUGGCAGACUAGAGUACUGUAGAGGGGGGUAGAAUUUCAGGUGUAGCGGUGAAAUGCGUAGAGAUCUGAAGGAAUACCGGUGGCGAAGGCGGCCCCCUGGACAGAUACUGACACUCAGAUGCGAAAGCGUGGGGAGCAAACAGGAUUAGAUACCCUGGUAGUCCACGCCGUAAACGAUGUCUACUUGGAGGUUGUGGCCUUGAGCCGUGGCUUUCGGAGCUAACGCGUUAAGUAGACCGCCUGGGGAGUACGGUCGCAGAUUAAAACUCAAUGAAUUGACGGGGGCCCGCACAAGCGGUGGAGCAUGUGGUUUAAUUCAAUGCAACGCGAGAACCUUAACUUACUCUGACAUCAAGAGAACUUUCCAGAGAUGGAUUGUGGCUUUCGGGAACUCUGAGACAGGUGCUGCAUGGGCUGUUCGUCACCUCGUGUGUGAAAUGUUGAGUAAAGUCCGGCAACCGACGCACCCUAUCGUGGUUGCAGACGAGUCAUGUCGGGACUCAAGCAGACUGCGGUGAUAACCGAAGAAGUGGACCAGUUCAGUCGUCAUGUCCUUACAGUAGCUACACGUGCGUACAUGCGCUACUGAAGUCGCCACACUUCGAGAAUGACGCAAU